rnacentral:rRNA from 1 species
AUUGAACGCUGGCGGAAUGCUUUACACAUGCAAGUCGAGCGGCAGCGCGGGGCAACCUGGCGGCGAGCGGCGAACGGGUGAGUAAUGCAUCGGAACGUACCCAGUCGUGGGGGAUAACUGUCCGAAAGGACAGCUAAUACCGCAUACGUCCUGAGGGAGAAAGCGGGGGAUCGCAAGACCUCGCGCGAUUGGAGCGGCCGAUGCCGGAUUAGCUAGUUGGUAGGGUAAAGGCCUACCAAGGCGACGAUCCGUAGCUGGUCUGAGAGGACGACCAGCCACACUGGAACUGAGACACGGUCCAGACUCCUACGGGAGGCAGCAGUGGGGAAUUUUGGACAAUGGGGGCAACCCUGAUCCAGCCAUUCCGCGUGAGUGAAGAAGGCCUCGGUUGUAAG